UACGGGGGGGGCAAGCGUUGUUCGGACUUACUGGGCGUAAAGGGCGUGUAGGUGGCCAACUACGUCCGACGUGAAAUCCCCAGGCUUAACCUGGGAACUGCGUCGGAUACUGGAUGGCUUGAAUUCGGGAGAGGGAUGCAGAAUUCCAGGUGUAGCGGUGAAAUGCGUAGAUAUCGAGAGGAACACCUGCGGCGAAGGCGGGUUGCUGGGCUGACACUGACGCUGAGGCGCGAAAGCUAGGGGAGCGAACGGG
rnacentral:rRNA from 1 species